rnacentral:snRNA from 1 species
AUACUACACCUGGAAGGGGAGAUACCAUGAUCACAAAGGUGGAUUUCCAGGGCCAAGCUUAUCCAUUGUCCUCUGGAUUUGCUGACCCCCACCAUUUCCCCAUGGGAAACUCUACAGCGGUAGUGGGGGACUGUGUUCACAUUCUCCCCUG